UAAGAUUUCUGUAACUACUUUCCAACCCACUUCCCCUUAUAUCAUUAGGUUUUUGAUGUCUGAAUUUAUAAGAAAAUUAAGGUCAGGAGAUAAGUGAACUUGUUGUAAAUCUCUAGCAGGCUAAGAAGGAUUUAAGAAACCUUUAAGGAAAAGUGCCAGGGAACAAGGGGAAGGACUAUAAAUAGCACCAGUUAGUCUGAAAAAACAUUGAUUCCAUAGCUCUGAAAUUUACUGUUGCACAGAUUAAACUGUUUAAUUUUGGUUGAGAGUAGAACACAAAAAUUUAUCCUGGGAACAGUCGUUCUCAUGAUGAAAAGGUCUGUGCAGGUUUUCGCAAGUGAUGGAAUAAACUGAGAGAAGAAGGGAGUAGGUAUCAAGAAAGAUGUUCCAACACAGUGAAGUCUGUUAGACUGCAGAAUAGCCUCAUAAGGAAACUGAUAGAAAUCCCAUUGCUCAACAUAUUUAAAAUUAGACCAGAUACAGCAGUUGUUAUGUAUCUUUCUCCCUUUGCAAUAAAAAAAAAAAUGAUUCAAAGAAAUCACCCUGGUACAGUUAUGGACAUAAAUAACAGUGUUUGCUCAUAAACGGCAUAAAAGGCUACUACUACAUUCUUACUAUGUACUGCGGUAUGGAGUGUGCUGAAUGUGUUGCAGGAGCAAAUCUUGAAGAGAGAUGGACUCCACACUUUGCAUAUGACACUGUCCUUGAACACAGGGUUUGAAUCCAGCUGAUGGGAAGAGACCAGCACUCCGAUCUGCUCUGUUUCCCCCAGGUGCUCUGAUAACAGAGCUAUUUUGUCAUAGUCAAGGUUUGAAACUUGGCCUGUAAAUUACUGUAAAGUGGUUCUUUGUUAAGGUUCUGCACCAGUGCCCAAACCUGAAGAAAGAUAAACAGAGCAGGAAUUAAAGCAACACCAUGAGCUGCUUCCCACAGCAGCGAGACUCUGAAGGUGAUGCAGAAUUCACAGCGCUGUGGAGAUGACAUCAGUCCUUUCACUGGCAAAGAAGAGAUUUCUUCCCUUGUCUUUUCAUUGCCUUAAUCUGGCUCCCAUCACCCAGCUCUGCUGCCUGUUUGCCAGAAAUCUGCCCAAAGAUGCUCGUUGUCAUGCUGUGCCAUGGACCAUUUUACACCUCUGUCCUGGUUUUGUUAAAAACAAGUUUCUCUUUUAGUGAAUUUGCCUGUCAGCUAAAGCUUCAUAUUAGCUGCAUUUUCCUGGAAAACCAGAUACAUGGAAUGCGAGCUUAUUGAAAAUGAAUUCAUGCACAUCUCAUGAGAGGGGCAACGAGAAACAGGUGACCAAGAAACCGACCAACAGAGUAUAACAUCCCAUUCACAUGAAUACUUCAUAUAAAAGUGGGAGAUCAUGAGGGCCUCGUCCCUUUUUUCCUUACGGCCGACAUUAAGAGAGGACCUUGCUAGGUGUCCCUGCGAACUGAGGCCAGUGACAGACUGAAUCCAGCUCCGGUUGGCUGCAGAGUCCAAUUCAGGACUUUGGGUGCCAGCUCUGCAGUUGCUGGGACUUUCAAGAUUGGUUUUGUAUAUUUUGUAUUAUUUCUUCUAUUCUUAUUAGUAGCAUUAGUAAAACAUCUUUAAUUUUUCCAACUCUCUUCUCUCUGUCCUUCUUUCCCUCGUGAUCACCUGUCCUUAGUGGGAAGUGGGUAAAGUGGGGAGCUGAAGGGGGAAGCGGGGGGAGAGCUGGUUAACAAUACAUCUGCCACAGUUUUAUUGUCACCCCGCAAUCCCCCUCAGUAACCUCAAAGUCUCUCUUCUCCUUUUCUGACUGACCUUCACUUCGCCCUAUCCAACAGAAUGAAUAUUGUAGCAUCUACCGGCUGUAUUUACAGUGUCACGAAAGAUAUCUUGCUGAGAGACAUAUGUUCUCUGGUAUGCUUCUGUUUAGGGUAAUGGGAAUCCAUUGUGCAAGAAUAUAUCCCCCUUUUUUAUCCUGUGCCCUUGUCUUCCCUUUGUGUCUCGCAGUGUUUUCAUUAAGCUGUAAUUUAGAAGCUCUCUAAGACAGGAAUAUAUCUGUCUUUGGUCCCAUAAAGUACUUUAUAACGUGUUAUAAAGAGACACAAAUUUUGCAAAUCAAUCUGCUGGCAUUUCACCAAUACACUGGAGGUAAGUUAACAGUGAGCUCAGAAAAUGCAGAGCUCUGUGAAAUCUAGCUUGUUUUAUUGAGAUUUUUUAAUAUGUCUUAAAGCCAGUGCAUUCAGUUCAUGCCCAUUUGAAAGACUUUCUAGGGCAGAGAUGGAUAGACUUUGAAAACAUAUGAUUAUGUCUUCCUUUCCUAUUAAUGCCACCAAUGACAUCGUAUUAUUCUCAACAGCAACUAUGAUUAGGCUUAUAAAUCCCACACUGA